rnacentral:rRNA from 1 species
GAUGAACGCUAGCGGCAGGCCUAACACAUGCAAGUCGAGGGGUAGAAGGAGCUUGCUCCUUUGAGACCGGCGCACGGGUGCGUAACGCGUAUGCAAUCUACCUUGUACAGGGGAAUAGCCCAGAGAAAUUUGGAUUAAUGCCCCAUAGUAUAUAACCUUCGCAUGUUGGUUAUAUUAAAGUUCCAACGGUACAAGAUGAGCAUGCGUCCCAUUAGUUAGUUGGUAAGGUAACGGCUUACCAAGACGAUGAUGGGUAGGGGUCCUGAGAGGGAGAUCCCCCACACUGGUACUGAGACACGGACCAGACUCCUACGGGAGGCAGCAGUGAGGAAUAUUGGUCAAUGGUCGCAAGACUGAACCAGCCAUGCCGCGUGCAGGAAGACGGUCCUAGGGAUUGUAAACUGCUUUUAUACAGGAAGAAACCCUCCCACGUGUGGGAGCUUGACGGUACUGUAGGAAUAAGGAUCGGCUAACUCCGUG